GAGUGAACGCUGGCGGUAGGCCUAACACCUGCAAGUCGAACGGCAGCACAGUAAGAGCUUGCUCUUACGGGUGGCGAGUGGCGGACGGGUGAGGAAUACAUCGGAAUCUACUUUUUCGUGGGGGAUAACGUAGGGAAACUUACGCUAAUACCGCAUACGACCUACGGGUGAAAGCAGGGGAUCUUCGGACCUUGCGCGAUUGAAUGAGCCGAUGUCGGAUUAGCUAGUUGGCGGAGUAAAGGCCCACCAAGGCGACGAUCCGUAGCUGGUCUGAGAGGAUGAUCAGCCACACUGGAACUGAGACACGGUCCAGACUCCUACGGGAGGCAGCAGUGGGGAAUAUUGGACAAUGGGCGCAAGCCUGAUCCAGCCAUACCGCGUGGGUGAAGAAGGCCUUCGGGUUGUAAAGCCCUUUUGUUGGGAAAGAAAAGCAGCAGGUUAAUACCCCGCUGUUCUGACGGUACCCAAAGAAUAAGCACCGGCUAACUUCGUG
rnacentral:rRNA from 1 species